rnacentral:rRNA from 1 species
AACGAACGCUGGCGGCAGGCCUAACACAUGCAAGUCGAGCGCGCCCUUCGGGGUGAGCGGCGGACGGGUGAGUAACGCGUGGGAACGUGCCCUUUUCUACGGAAUAGCCUCGGGAAACUGAGAGUAAUACUGUAUACGCCCUUUGGGGGAAAGAUUUAUCGGAAAAGGAUCGGCCCGCGUUGGAUUAGGUAGUUGGUGGGGUAAUGGCCUACCAAGCCGACGAUCCAUAGCUGGUUUGAGAGGAUGAUCAGCCACACUGGGACUGAGACACGGCCCAGACUCCUACGGGAAGCAGCAGUGGGGAAUCUUAGACAAUGGGGGCAACCCUGAUCUAGCCAUGCCGCGUGAGUGAUGAAGGCCUUAGGGUUGUAAAGCUCUUUCAGCUGGGAAGAUAAUGACGGUACCAGCAGAAGAAGCCCCGGCUAACUCCGUG